rnacentral:lncRNA from 1 species
UCUAGCUCUCCAUCUCCAUCUCCACUCACGGUGUAAUUCGUUCCUUUUCCUUGUAACCUUUUUGGUUUCCUUGUUUGAUUUCGUAUGAACUUGUUUCUAGUUAACAAUAAUGUUUAGGGCAAAAAAACUUUUAUAUGUUUAUCUUAUUUGGGUCGACACUUAUAGGAUUUGCAUGUAAUUGGUGCUAGGUUUAAGAACAUGAAAUCGACUUUUCGUUUUGUGUAACUUGAAUCAAAAGUAGUAAAGGUUCUGGACAAGAAUCGAAUUUAAUUGAAGAGGAUUGCAAUUAGGUGGACUUUUCCAUACUAAGUUGUACACUUGAGUUGAUAGCCUUUCUCUAUGUCUAAUGCGUUGAACAUGUCAUGAUUGACUAGCUUUCUAGGGCUUGAUUGCAUGUUUGAUAGGAUUAAUCUAGGUGCUUUCGCUUAGGUUAAUUAGCAUUGAAAAGUAAAAUAUGGGAAAUCAUUUGCUUUCGAAUGUUUCACAUGAUCAACUCCUCUCUCAUGACAUUUAAAAUCAACUAUAGGAAUUGUAAUUGGAUUUCUUACAUAUGGAUGUGGUUUUGAUCUUUGUUCCUU